rnacentral:rRNA from 1 species
UACGUAGGUGGCAAGCGUUGUCCGGAUUUACUGGGCGUAAAGGGCGUGUAGGCGGCCCGCUAAGUCCGUUGUGAAAUUUCCCGGCUCAACCUGGGAACUGCAUUUGAUACUGUCGAGCUAGAGUUUAGUAGAGGGAAGUGGAAUUCCCGGUGUAGCGGUGAAAUGCGUAGAUAUCUGGAAGAACACCGGUUGCGAAGGCGGCUCUCUGGACCGAUACUGACGCUCAAGCGCGAAGGCUUGGGGAGCAAACAGGAUUAGAAACCCGAGUAGUCC